UACGUAGGGGGCAAGCGUUGUCCGGAUUUAUUGGGCGUAAAGCGCGUGUAGGCGGCCAGGAAGGUCCGCUGUGAAAACUCGAGGCUCAACCUCGAGAUGUCGGCGGAAACCCUCUGGCUAGAGUCCGGAAGAGGAGAGUGGAAUUCCCGGUGUAGCGGUGAAAUGCGCAGAUAUCGGGAAGAACACCCGUGGCGAAGGCGGCUCUCUGGGACGGUACUGACGCUGAGACGCGAAAGCGUGGGGAGCGAACAGG
rnacentral:rRNA from 1 species